rnacentral:rRNA from 1 species
AACGAACGCUGGCGGCAUGCCUAACACAUGCAAGUCGAACGAGACCUUCGGGUCUAGUGGGGCACGGGUGUGUAACGCGUGGGAACAUGCCCUUAGGUUCGGAAUAUCUCUCCGAAAGGGGUGCUCAUACUGGAUAAUGUCUUCGGACCAACGAUUUAUCGCCUUUGGUUGGGCCUGCGUUGGAUUAGCUGGUUGGUAGGGUAAAAGCCUACCAAGGUGUCGUUCCAUAGCUGGUCUGAGAAGAUGAUCAGCCACACUGGAACUGAGACACGGCCCAGACUCCUACGGGAGGCAGCAGUGGAGAAUAUUAUGCAAUGAGCGAAAGCCUAAUCCAGCAAUGCCGCGUAAGUGAUGAAGGCCGUAGGGUUGUAAAUCUCUUUUACCCGAAGUGAUAAUGACGGUACCGGGAGAAUAAGCUCCGGCUAACUCCGUG